CUCUGAUGUGGGAACAUCACCAGAGAGCUGGUUGGCUGUCAGAGAUGCUCUUGAGGGAGCUCCCCUGAUGUCUGUCUACACACUGAUAAGACUUGUAGUCGCUGGGAUUCUUUACCUGCUGUCCACCAUCAUACUUGGACUCAUAUACAGAGACAAGAGAAGAGCACGUCAGCUUGUUGCAAAGGACAGGAGCCAAGAUGUCGUCAUGGAGGUCGAAUAGACCGCAAACAGAUGUGACAUUAACAUUCUUAUACAUG